AUUGAACGCUGGCGGCUGGCCUAACACAUGCAAGUCGAGCGAGCGGCGGACGGGUGAGUAAUGUAUGGGGACUGCCCGAUAGAGGGGGAUAACUACUGGAAACGGUAGCCAAUACCGCAUACUAUCGGAUAACCCAUAUGGGAUUAGCUAGUAGGUGCGGUAAUGGCUCACCUAGGCGACGAUCCCUAGCUGGUCUGAGCGGAUGAUCAGCCACACUGGGACUGAGACACGGACCAGACUCCUACGGAGGCAGCAGGGGGGAAUAUGGCAAAAUGGUCGCAAGCCGGAGGCAGCCAUGCCGCGUGUAUGAAGAAGGCCCUAGGGUUGUAAAGUACUUUCAGUCGGGAGGCGUUACCGACAGAAGAAGCACCGGCUAACUCCGUGCCAGCAGCCGCGGUAAUAC
rnacentral:rRNA from 1 species